rnacentral:rRNA from 1 species
GAUGAACGCUGGCGGCGUGCCUAAUACAUGCAAGUCGAGCGAACAGACGAGGAGCUUGCUCCUCUGACGUUAGCGGCGGACGGGGGAGUAACACGUGGAUAACCUACCUAUAAGACUGGGAUAACUUCGGGAAACCGGAGCUAAUACCGGAAAAUAUAUUGAACCGCAUGGUUCAAUAGUGAAAGACGGUUUUGCUGUCACUUAUAGAUGGAUCCGCGCCGCAUUAGCUAGUUGGUAAGGUAACGGCUUACCAAGGCAACGAUGCGUAGCCGACCUGAGAGGGUGAUCGGCCACACUGGAACUGAGACACGGUCCAGACUCCUACGGGAGGCAGCAGUAGGGAAUCUUCCGCAAUGGGCGAAAGCCUGACGGAGCAACGCCGCGUGAGUGAUGAAGGUCUUCGGAUCGUAAAACUCUGUUAUUAGGGAAGAACAAAUGUGUAAGUAACUAUGCACGUCUUGACGGUACCUAAUCAGAAAGCCACGGCUAACUACGUG